rnacentral:rRNA from 1 species
GUGGGGAAUCUUGCGCAAUGGGCGAAAGCCUGACGCAGCCAUGCCGCGUGAAUGAUGAAGGUCUUAGGAUUGUAAAAUUCUUUCACCGGGGACGAUAAUGACGGUACCCGGAGAAGAAGCCCCGGCUAACUUCGUGCCAGCAGCCGCGGUAAUACGAAGGGGGCUAGCGUUGCUCGGAAUUACUGGGCGUAAAGGGAGCGUAGGCGGACAUUUAAGUCAGGGGUGAAAUCCCGGGGCUCAACCUCGGAAUUGCCUUUGAUACUGGGUGUCUUGAGUGUGAGAGCGGUAUGAGGAACUCCGAGUGUAGAGGUGAAAUUCGUAGAUAUUCGGAAGAACACCAGUGGCGAAGGCGACAUACUGGCUCAUUACUGACGCUGAGGCUCGAAAGCGUGGGGAGCAAACAGGAUUAGAAACCCGGGUAGUCC